CUCGGUGCACCCGCUCCGAUUUCAAUUACGCCCACGUCGCUGGGAGACGGAUUUAUGGGACCCAUUGUCUCUUCGACACAGGCCUCGAUCGUCGCUGCCUGCAAGCCUCACUCCGCGUGUACGUGUGCCGUCCCUCGGCUGCUUAGUCUUUUUGGGCCUAUCACCAAAUUUCUUGUUUUUGCUUGUCUGUGCCUUUCAGGCAGCCCGCAACUCCGCACUCACCAUUUUACCCUGCCCGACUGUUCUCUGUUAGCGGCCUCUUCCGACGUGGACGAAGCUUUCAAUCUUCGUUUUCUCCGAAGAUUAGCUACGUCCUCUCUCUUCGAUCCAUUAUAUUGCUGGCCAUUCUCUCCCUCUUAUUUCUCUCCCCCUCUCUGUGUCAGCGUGUGUCACAUGCGUUUGGGUUUGUGUGCGUGUGUGUGAGCGUUCAUGCGUGCGUUAGUAAGCUACCGGUAUAUCGCCUUGCACUUAGUGGGAUUCGCUUCUUGUUCUAUUGAACCUGCUUCAAUUCGUAGUAUCCUGUUUGCUUUCUUUCAGAACGAACAGCGGCACCACUGACUCCUCCAUGAGAGACUGACAGUGAUGGUGCGUGGUCCCGAGGGAUGGUACACAGUGCCACCGACACCAUUUAGUCUGCGCCGGCUCACCACUAUAGAGCUAAGAUGCCACAACCUAUCUAUGGAGAAUCUGGCCAAGGCGUUAAGGUCAAGCGAUUACCCAGCUACGAAUCUGUUUCACAGCAGGGGAAGAAGAAAAAGAAGAAGAAGGAACGCGGCGAAAACGAAAAUCAAAGAAAAACGAAAGGCGAGCGAAAAAAGGGAGAGCGGCAAAGCGCAGCUCACACGGAGACGGUUGGAACCAAGGAGGGCCUGCCUCGCCGCCGCUGCACUUCGGGAGAAACUUGCGGUCGGCGAUGUUAUCAAAGGAGGAGGAGGAGGAGGAGGAGGAAAGGAGACACGGCGACGGGUGCAGAGAGAAGGCACGCUCUGUGGCGAAGCUACGCCGAGUGGGGUGCCAGAAGCCAGGCGGCGUCUUCUUUGUGCCAGUCGGCUUUUCCUGCGAACUCGAGAUGCCUUUCCGCCGCCGUAUGCCGGCGGACGAACUUCGGCAGGGAGACGCCAGGUGGCGGGAGAGUGAAGACAAGCCGAGACGUUUUCAGAGGAAAGGCAGAAGGAACUGUGUUUGUCUAGUGCACGUGGGGUACACACGCCCCCCUUAGUUGUCUUGCUUCUUGCUUUGUUCGGUUGCUUUCGUCUUAUACUUGUUUUAUUUUCUGUUUUUCUAUUUCUCCGUUUAGUGUUCCGACAAGCAUCCACGCACAAACUGCAGGGGUCGCAGCUAAUGGUGUCGUGAACGAGAAGGAUGUGAAUAGCAGACGUGGGCACAGGGGUUCCUGCAACAAGGCCCUCCAUGUCAGCUUAUCGUCAUCACCAGCCACAACGCUUUCACAUCAACAGCGUUUCUCAAAUGUGGGAGAGCCCUGGCGCCAGUGGCGAAGGCUGCUGCCCGGCCCAGCCGUCCGACACCUCCAGCUGUGCGCGUAUGCACUUCAGAGAUAUGCAAGACCGCCGCCUUGAAGAGGACCACAAAUAUUUUGACGACGCUCACCAUGUCCGGUGGGAGGUGCGAAGACUCGUGUUUCACAUUUCUUCAAACCGAUGUUUUUC